rnacentral:rRNA from 1 species
GCAGUAGCCACGGGAAUACGUAGGUGGCAAGCGUUGUCCGGAAUUAUUGGGCGUAAAGGGCUCGCAGGCGGUUUCUUAAGUCUGAUGUGAAAGCCCCCGGCUCAACCGGGGAGGGUCAUUGGAAACUGGGAAACUUGAGUGCAGAAGAGGAGAGUGGAAUUCCACGUGUAGCGGUGAAAUGCGUAGAGAUGUGGAGGAACACCAGUGGCGAAGGCGACUCUCUGGUCUGUAACUGACGCUGAGGAGCGAAAGCGUGGGGAGCGAACAGGAUUAGAUACCCCUGUAGUCCCUGUCUCUUAUAC